rnacentral:rRNA from 1 species
GAUGAACGCUGGCGGCGUGCCUAAUACAUGCAAGUCGAGCGAACAGACGAGGAGCUUGCUCCUCUGACGUUAGCGGCGGACGGGUGAGUAACACGUGGAUAACCUACCUAUAAGACUGGGAUAACUUUGGGAAACCGGAGCUAAUACCGGAUAAUAUAUUGAACCGCAUGGUUCAAUAGUGAAAGACGGUUUUGCUGUCACUUAUAGAUGGAUCCGCGCCGCAUUAGCUAGUUGGUAAGGUAACGGCUUACCAAGGCGACGAUGCGUAGCCGACCUGAGAGGGGGACCGCCAAAACGGGAAGGGAAACAGGGCCCAGACUCCGGGGGGAGGAGGAGGGGGGAACUCUCCGGAAAGGGGCAAAGGCCGGAGGGAGCAACGCGGAGGGAGGAAUGAGGUUCUCAGGAUUGAAAAAUGUUUUUAUAGGGAAAAAAAAAAUGUGAAAGAAAAUAGGCACUUCUGGACGGUACCAAAAAAAAAAGCCAGGACUAACUACGUC